rnacentral:rRNA from 1 species
CAGCCGCCACGGGAAUACGUAGGUGGCAAGCGUUGUCCGGAAUUAUUGGGCGUAAAGGGCUCGCAGGCGGUUUCUUAAGUCUGAUGUGAAAGCCCCCGGCUCAACCGGGGAGGGUCAUUGGAAACUGGGAAACUUAAGUGCAGAAGAGGAGAGUGGAAUUCCACGUGUAGCGGUGAAAUGCGUAGAGAUGUGGAGGAACACCAGUGGCGAAGGCGACUCUCUGGUCUGUAACUGACGCUGAGGAGCGAAAGCGUGGGGAGCGAACAGGAUUAGAUACCCCCGUAGUCCCUGUCUCUUAUAC